UACGGGGGGCAAGCGUUGUUCGGAAUUACUGGGCGUAAAGGGCUGGUAGGCGGCCAACUAAGUUGAACGUGAAAUCCCUGGGCUCAACCCAGGAACUGCGUCCAAGACUGGGAGGCUUGAAUCCGGGAGAGGGAUGCGGAAUUCCAGGUGUAGCGGUGAAUGCGUAGAUAUCUGGAGGAACACCGGUGGCGAAGGCGGCAUCCUGGACCGGUAUUGACACUGAGGCGCGAAGCCAGGGAGCAACGGG
rnacentral:rRNA from 1 species